CCGGCGUGAAUCGCCUCGUUAGCAUCUGCUCGGUGUCCCGGGGGCAUUAUGAAGAUCGCCCUCAGCUGCGCGAGGCCGCGUGCUGCAGGGAGGGGCGCGCGGAGCCUCGUGCCGGCUGCUAACGGCCGCCUGCCGUCCCCUCAGCGCUCAGUCAGCACCGCUCCGACGCCUGAGCCGCUCGGUGGACCGCGAGUAGGGUGUUUUGGAUUAAGCUCUUACUGAAAAGGGGCUGAAAACAAGACUGCUGGGAGAGCAAAGAACGGACCUUUGAUUUUUUUUUUUUAUUUUUUUUUUAUUUUUGCCUGCUUAAUUCUAACUCAUUUGUCUCUUCUGGAUCCUGAAUUCUGAGAAGAUAACUGCAGAUAAAAGCUCUUCAGGACAUGUGAAUUGUGCUUGCAGUGUCAGUGAACAUUAGCAGAACAUCUGCUGCAGACUGGACUUGAAGUCAAGGACCAUAUAGCUGGCUGUCAACAGGCUGCGAUUGUACACAGGGGAAAACAGCAAGGACUAGACUGAGUGGAUUCAGAAGAGUACUAUCUGACAUUAGAUGAAGGCAGAAUCAUGGGAAGGUCUGUUUCUAUCUCAUGCAGCCUAGUAGACAAGUGGAAGAGAUGGGCAUCAACUCUGCAUUCAGACUGCCUGAAAAUUUAAAUGAGUUUGGAUAAAACUUUGAAAUGGGUUGUUCCAUUCUUGCUACAGCUUCACCAGCUGCUGCUGCUUCUGGACUGCUGGUGUUUCCUCCUCCUUUGUAAGUGGGAGACACGGAGAGAAAGCAAACCAAAUCCCUAUGAAGGCAAGCAUCCAAACACAAAAUCUUUUCUGAUAUUUAUUUAUUUAUAUUAAUCUGCAGUGUGGCUGAAAGGUAUUGGGAUUUCUCAAAGUACAAACCAAAAUAUUUUCCUUCUUUUUACAGAAAUGGGUUAUAGCAACUCUCUGUAUUCCUAUCUAAAGAUUGUAACUGAGCAGCGCUCUUUAGGGUGGUUUAAUUCUUCAGCAGCUCUUCCACAAGCAAAGACAUUUAUAAAGGAGGUAAACAUGAGGACAGUUGUGGAGGUGUUUCUUGAGUCUCUCAGUCACUGAUGAUGCUGACAACUUUGAGUUUUUGCUGCUGGUGUGAAAUUCUGUAUGGAUGUUUAAAAAUUAAUAUUCUUGAACAAAGUAAGAUUUCCUGUAGCAAAGGUUACAGUAUAUUUGUAAUUAAUUAUUGCUGUGAGAGUGUGUUCCCCAGCAGGGGUCUAUGAGUCUGCCAACAGGCAUAUAGAUAUAUGUAUAUUUAUACACGUACCCACAUAUGUAUUUAGAUAAGAAUUACAGUAUUUUUCAUUUGAUAUAUCAUUAUCAUAUCUGCGUUGUUACGGUUAUCUGUUGUGAGGGUAUAUAUGUUUAGUGCCCAUGUCUAUUACACAUUGUUAGUUUAAUGAAGAAUGAUGAUACUAACACAAGAUUAACUAGAUAUGAUCUAGAGCUUAUAAUCUCUUUUUUCAGACUCAGUUUAAAUUUAUUCUACAAAAGCUGAUGUUCAUUCAAAGUAUUAUUAUUGAAACUAUUGCUAUCAGAAUUAUUUCUAAACUUGGUUCUGUGGUUGUCAGUAGAAAAAGUAACUUGCCUUUAGAACUGUUGUUAUUCUAUGUUAUUUUAUUUUAUUUUUUUAAAAGCUCAAUGACAUAUUUAAAUUGGUUCAUUUUCUGGUGCUGUGUCACAAAUUGGUGUUUUGCCAGAAAAACAGGGUAUGUAUCAAAUCACCAUCUUUUAUUUUCAUGCUUGGUGAUUUGCAGUGAUCUGUGGACUGAAGUCUGCAUUAAGGCAUGGUUUUGGGAUACUUUCCCUACUUAGAAAGUUUCUUAUUGCUCCUUCCAUCACUGAUGUUUGCACCAUUUUAUAUGUGUAUGUGUGCUAGGUAAAUGUAUAUAUUUACAUAUACACACGUGUGCACACCUAUAAUGAGCCAAAGCCAGAACAGCCUCUGUCUCAGCUUGUCUGCAAGUUAUGCACAUUCUAGGGAAUGAAACUUGAAUAAUGUUCAAAGAGAAAGCGUGUGAGUUAGCCCAAGGGCAGAAGCCACAGGUUACAUGAUUUUACAUAAUUUUGGUGGAGGGGGUGGAAAAAAAAGAAUCUCAUGUCAAUAUUACAGGAAAUAUUUUAGAAUGCAUUUAGAAUACAAACAGAAUGUUUGUCCUCACUGAUUUGUGCACGUACUUCAGUACAGUACUUUGUUUUCACCAUGCCAGGAUCCUUUUCCUACCUUCCCUUAAUAUAAUUCAUCACAAAAGGAAAAUAAAAUGAGAACAGUUUUUGUAGCCAUUGCUAGCUUUACUGCUUACUUCAUUUUUAGGGUUGGCAGAGGUAAGUUUAAGAAAGUAGCUUGGAGACAGGUUACUGGAUCAGCCUUGCUUUUUCUCAUGUGGCCAUAUGGCAACCUAGAGUGCUGCUGCAUCUUCAAUCCCAGUCCCAGUUCAGGGCUAGAUAUUUCCUUCAGAUUCUGCUGUGGUUUUCCUGAACCCUGAGCACUCACCAGUAUGGUCCAAGCAGAGCAAGAUCUUCAGCAUUUGGUUCUAUGGUGGGGGCAGCUACUGCUGCCCAGGAAUAACUCUACAGGGUCAAAAAAUAGACUACAAAUUGGAAAUGGGAAAGACAAUUUGGGUUGGACACUCAGAAGCUCUUAAUAAGACGUGAUUCCUACAUUUUUUUUCUCUGUAGAACUGCUGUUAAGAAAGUUAAAAAAAAAAAAAAAAAAAAAAAAGAAUCAAGCUUGAAGGAACCAGGUAAGUCAGUCCCAUGAUAUUAUAUUUACAGUUUAAAACAUAACUGAAGAGUGUAUAGAUGAUCUCUGUCUACAGAAUCCUCCGUGUCUUUCCAAAGACUAUGCUCCAUUCUUAGGUUGUUUUUUUGUUGUUUUUUUUUUACAUUGUUUUGUUUUCCUGUUUCAUUACCUUAAAGGGAACACUGUUAUUGAAUGCAUGUCUAGUUUCUGGAUGCCAUUUUUUUAUUUCCUUCUCUUUAUCAACAUAUUCAUAGCAGAAAAGCUGUGUUCCUUUUGACUAAGAUAAUCUCCGUUUUCUCUUAUUGUUCACAUUCAAUUUGUCAUCUAAUUAUAUCUGGGUUGCUGAUGUCUCCUUAUCUUUCAAGAGUCAAAGAGACAUUAUACAGUUAGUUCACUCUCAUGAAAUGAUAGAAAUAUGAGUGAAUACCAGGUGGGUCACUUUCUUCAUUCAUUUUGGCUGGGAUAUACAUGUGUUGAUGGGACUGUUUGAAGCUUUAUUCAGACUGUAUCAGUUCCUUGUUUUGCAGCAAUCCAAGAAGAGCAAGAUGUCACUUGUUAGUUAGUUAGUGUCACAUGUUAGUGUAAUAUGAAAGGGAUAUCUCUGAUAGUGGAACUGUUACUCCCUGGGCACCUUCCAUUUUUGUCCUCUGCACAGAGAUACAUCAUUUCUCAGCAAGUCAACAGCCCCGAGAUGUACAGGUUAUAUAUUUGCAGGAAAAAAAAAAAAGCGUCUUAGGUAAACUGAACUAAGGAAAACAGAACAAAACAACUGAGUUAUGGAGCUUCUCUUAUCCUGUCCCAGCAAUAUGAUACCAAGGGUGGAAAAUUUCAUUUUAACAAAGACCAGAGCAAUUUCAGUUUGUCACUUUGGAAAGUUAAUUUGAGUAGCACUGGGGUAUGAAUAUUUUUACAGUAGUAUUUUAUUAUUUACCCACCAUAGAAUGGUUUCUCUUUCUCUCUAACAAUUACUGUUUUUAAGUGUGCAGAAGUAUACUUAGGCCUUUCACUAAACACACAACAUGGACACUACUUUAUGAACACAGCUCAGACAGUGAUCCUCAGUUCCUCAUCAAAGUCUGCCUGAAAUGAGCUGAAAGAUACUUUGGUAGCACCAACAUGGAUCAGGCAUAAUUAUCUAAUGGCUCACCUAAAGGUCUUUUCUGUCUCAGUCAGUCUAUAUUUAACAAAAGAUAAACACACCUAUUGAUGUACAAUGAUGCAUUCCAAACUGAAACUCCUGAAUUGAGAGUUUCUAUCUCCUGCAAAGCUCGGAAUGCAGUCACUGCUCUACUUCAUUCUUUUUCUUCACCAUAAUAAUUACUUCAGUUUCCAGAAUAGUAGUAAAGUUGCCUUAUAUCUAACUGAACUGCUGUAUCAUUAGACAAAAGUAAUUUUACAUAUCAAUUAUUGAAAUUUCAUCUAUGAUUAGCUCUACAUAUGAGCAAUGUUUUCACAGGAUAAGUCUUUUCUUUUUCAGAGAGUCGCACGCACUAAAUAAAUGAAUAAAGACAUGGCUGUAUAUUUCACCACUUAUACUGGGAAGCAUUCCUAUCAGAAAACUUGGAAAUCAAAACAUUCCCCACAGUCCCUCAGUAUGCAUUAAAAAUAAAGACUGUAGUCAUAACUUUUUUUUCAAAACAUGAAAUGCAUUUUAUGCAACAAUGCCUCAGAUGAGACACAAACUCAACAGAGCUUACAAAUAUUCGACAUUAGCUCUUUUCAGAGCAAUGCUACAGCCUUAUUGGUGAUUGCAGAUGCACUGAUAUUUUGUAAACCCAGUCUUUAGAUUAAAAUUCAUGAAAGAUAGCUCACUUGCAUAAAUAAAUCAGGGAUGCAAAAAUAAAGUUUAAACAUCCAUACACUACUACUAUCAUUUUGCCAAAAUGACACACAGCAUGACUGCAGAAUUUGCUGUAAUACAGUAAUUGAGAAGAAAAUUUGCCUUGCUGUAUUGCUGAGAAAGGUAAAGUAUGUAUCCAUGGAUUUAAUAGCGUAUUAACUAUUCAUUGAUGUCACUUUUUAGCAUUACUUCUGCGCUCACAAAUCCUAUUAGAGAGUUAGGCAAUGUAUCUCUUAUUGUUAAAAAAGGGCUCUUGUCUCACAGCUAGCCAACAAAGAUAAUAAAGCCUAUUCCCAAUGCAAUAGCAAAGCCAGGCUAGGCUGCAUGUGAAGAUACAGCAAGUUGCUUGCUCUGACUUAAGCUUAUACAUGAAAUUAAUGACUGAAAUCAUCAUACCAAACAUGGUGAUCCUACAACGUACAUGUGGAUUUAAGGAUUGACAUGCGCCCUACCUGGUUGUCAUAUGCUGCUGCUCAAUCAAUAUUGAACUUUGUUGGAGGCAGGGAGAACUUACUGAUUUCAUCAUUUUCAGUGAAAAGCUGUCCGAUGUCUGUGUUCAACUUUCUAUUUGGAGGAGAAUGGAGUGGGCAAGAGAGACAGGAGAAAAGAAAAAAUGCGGUAACCGUAGUACUGCUGCAUUUCCAUUAGAAUGGCAAAAUACUUUGUGCUUAUCUGCAAUCAGUUAUAUUGUACUCAGUAGCCCCAUCUUAGGUCUUCAUUACUGUAAACACCUCACACAGAUAAAAGUGAGAUAAUACUUAUUUAUGAGUAUCAUCACUUAGUGUGACCACUGAGAUAUAUGCUUCUUUUUGGCCAACACGAUCCCCUACCCACCCUCAUUUGCCCAUGUUUACGUGUUCAAAGAGGAUUAGGACUCAGCUAUCUAUGUGCAGGCAGAGCAGCACCGUGUACAGCUGUAUGAAGAAUUCACUACCAGUAGCUUCUGAUUAUUGAUGCCUUUUUUAUGCAUUCAUGAAUUAUCUACAGACAGAUUCAAAUCUAUUAUUAGGCUGCAGAUCUUUAAGACAUACAGACCAGCAGUCAAUAGAAAUAGCAGCUAAUGUAUAGCAGACUAACCAGUCUAAUUUAUGAACAAUCAGGAAUAAUUCACCUUAAGGCCUAGCUGUGCUCCUUUCUUUCUUGGUGACAAAUUCACUUUGCAGCUUAUCUUCAUUAAUAUCAAGACAGUAAGUAUUGAUGGUAAGUAGUCACACAGGAAAUAAGUAAAAAUUAAAAGCAAAAUCUCUGGGUUUAUUAGUAUUUUUAUCAUUAGCUUCAGAAGAGUGCUCAAAUAUUUCAGUAUCUUCAAGCAAUAACAAACUAGAAAAAGUGUUUUUUGCCUUUUCACAAGAAUAAAUAUUUAUAAGCAUAUUCUUCUUUAUGAUUCAUGCAGGAUAUGAUUCCACUAACUUGUUUUGUUGAUAACCUCACAUGCUCCAACAGGUCAUCAACUCCUGGAGUUAACUUUUAAUUCCUUCUGUAUGAUGGCUCUUUUCUGAUUCCUUCUCCAGGAAGGAGAAAAAAUUGCUUUGCUGUGUUCAGUAAACCAGAUAUGCGUGAGCUGUAAACCUAAUCCUUGCAAGACUGCUUAGAACAACAUUGAAAGUGGGUUGUUUUAUUCUAGCACUUCAGGGUGGGGAUGAGGUACUGGGGAUUUUUUGUUCAGUUUAUUUGCUGCUGCUUUUUCAUUAAGGACUUACCUGCAGUAAUUAAAAAAGAAACAAACACAACAACGAAAACAAAAACCUGCUUAAACUCCAGAGUUAAAAACAGAGUGCAGUACAGAAAAGAACACGUGCCAUUCAAAACCAUGCUGCUAGGACUGCUCACUGUAGACAGGCACCUCUUCAUAUACUUCUCUAUCUGCAGAACAAUUUCAUGAUGGAAAGUGCUUGCUCUCUAGAUCUGUGAUAUAACAAAGUUUUUGAGAUUUUUCUUCUAACUGAACAUGCUGCAUUGUUUCUGUAAAGUUGCUGACUACUGUUCAAGUCACUUUUAUUUUCUGAAGAGAAUAAUAAGUAAAAGAGUUGAAAAUUACCAUGUGGAAGGGGUGAAGUUCUCACCUUUAGGUAGACUGAAAUUUGACAGAGAAUAGUAGAGUUACAGUACAAUGAAAACCCAGGUAAAGUGCACCUUUAGUAGCUGUCACAUGCUGACAGAUUUGCCUGACUCGUGAAGCCUAAGCUCCUUGUUCUGGCCCUGGGCCUGCUACUGCACAGGAAAGGUGUGACCUUUUCCAGCUAAUCACUCUAAUCACUCUCAGUGUGUUUCAAAUGCAAAACCAAACUAGAUGAGCUCUAGGAAUUACAUAAUGUGUCAAUUUAGCAGAAAGAAAGACUUCCAGCAGGAGACCAAAAGGAUCCAUUCCAUGAUUCUAAAUAUGUUUGUGUCUUUUAAUUGAGCAAGAGGUUUUGGUCACAGGCAUCAGAACAGUUUCAGAUGUCAUGACUUGGUUGCUGCAUUAGAGGGAUGAACCAAAGUCUUCCCUUAUUAAUGUUGUACAAAUUAAUUACAGCUGUGUUGCUAUUGAAACAUCAGCAGUGAUACUGGUUAUUUUCUACUGAGAUUUCUAAGUGGAAUUAUGGUCACUGAUAUCUAGCAGAAGAUCUGUAAAAAAACACACCUUUUAGCUACUUCAAAUUACGGCCAAAUGCAAAUGUGCAAUUUAGGAAAUAAAGGUUUCAGAACUAACUGGUUACUUGAAAUAACUGAAUCAGAUAUUAUCAUCUCAUUCAUAUAUAUAUAGAUAGAUAUACAAAUGCUGAACUCAACAGUGGCAUAAUUAAAUACAUGUAUUAAAUUAAUAAUUAGUCAAAAUAUAAUAAUACAGUUCCUGCCCCAUAAUAAGCCAUCUCCAAGCACCAGCUACAGAGGCCAUCUUACAAUUUUUUUUUAUAUACAAAGACUGCAAUGAUGAUGGAUUUCUAUGCACGGUCCCAUGAGCUGUCUGCCUAUGAACUAUAUCACAGAAAGUGAUAGAUGAGUAUAUUCAAAGCACUGAGAAUAAAACGUUGCCCUCUUUUACAGCUAAGAUAUCCUAGAAUCUGAUUUUCUUUUAAAAUGCCUUUCUCAAAAGAGGACUCCGUAGGAGGAAGAAAUAAAAAAAUCAAACACAACAUCAUCAUUCUCCAAACUAAACUUUCUAAGUCUAAGAAGUGAACGAGUGAACAGAUGUGAUACGUGCAAAGAAAGCAGGGCAUUUGUCUGGUAUUAAUGAACAGCGUUCCCAAUAACACUGAUUUCUUCUGCAGAAUACAGACAUUGAGGCUUAGACAGUAAUGGAGGACUACUAAUAUAAUUGAGAACUAAAGACAUACACCUUUCAGUCUGCCUUUCCUUCUGCCACUUAUUUUGUAUUGCAUGAAUGAGAUAUUACUUUCAUGUUUCCCCGAGAUGUUGGUUCACCAGGGUAAAGUGAGCAGACUCAAUUUCACCGAAAGUAAUGUAGUGAGAUUAUCCAGAAUUAUUUCCAGUGGGCUGCAUUUGUUGCAUUCCUUCUGUUGUGAGAAUAUAAGUAAACAACUAAACACCUUUACUGAAAGCUGAGAAUCUUCAUAGUCAUCACCUCUUCCUAUUUCCUUGAUUAGGCCAGCAUUUUAGGUUUAGCCAUGCUCAAUUAACUCAUCCAGGAAUCGGUCCAGUCAGAAACAGUUGAUUUAAGUGAGAUAAACUGGGCAUCUGUUUGGAAAAAAAUGAUUAUCCAAAAUAUGCCUUUCAUCAUGAGAAAAUGAACUGUGCUAUCUCCAUAUUUAAAAACAUAUGCUUCUAAAUAGAUUAACUUAAUUUGAAAGUCUAAGAAAUAGAAAACAGUAAUCACAACAUUGAAAUUGAAACAAGGAGAUACUAAGUCAAAAUUAAGUAACCAGUGCGUUAACAUUUUAAUGUACUGGAACUUAAACUUGAUACCGGCACCUUCAUCAAACCACUUGAAUUAAAGCGAUUAAAACUAGCAAUAAAAUCAACCACUGCAGCAGUGACUGAAAUGUGUGAGGUGUCAAUGCAUGUUUGCACUGGCGCUAACAAAAAUACUGCUGUAUUUAGUCUCUGAUUUGCUUUAGAGAUCUAAUCAGAUCAGACAAUGCUCUCAAGCUUGUUUCUAUUACUAAAGAUUGUUCUUUUCUGAGAAAAUAGAGAUAGCAUUGGAGACAUAGAUAGUAAUUAAGAGGUAGUGUUUAUGGCAUUGGAGAAUAUAUGGCAAUAGGUAUCUUUUGCAGGUGAUUAAACUGAAGUUAAGACACUGGAAAACCUCAGAAGCUGUUUUACUGCAAGAAAACAUCAAUGCUGCAGAUGCUAUUCCUACAAUACUGUCUGUAUUUGAAAUCUCUGUAUUUGAAAAUGUUUUAGUUGCUCCAAAAGUAAUACUUUCUAUUUAUUUCCUUGAAAGCUACUACAGAUACAAGGAGCACAAUGACACUAUCUUAUAGAGCAAAUUCUCAGCUACAAAACAUCAUUUUUCAACGUAGUCAGCAGCAGUAGUUACAGAUUUUCACCAAUGCCUACCAUGUUGUGCUUGUAAAAAUCUCCACCAGUGGAGGUGACUGUCAGUCACUGUUGUGACUGCUGAGACACACCACCCACCGGUUCACUGUGCUCACAUCCAGUAUUUAGUCUCCAUAAACUUACAUAAAGCAUCGAUAAAUGUCAAUGGAUGUGAUAUUUUCCUAAUAGAGGAAUUCACCGUUACUUCAUCAACACUUCUAUGUCAGACACCAUUUUUCCAGACUGCCUCUCUGCUGUCAUCUGUCACACUGCAACAGUGUAAUGGAAUAUAGGUUUGACCUCUACAGCCAACAUCCAUCUCUGACACUGGGGGUCAACAUAGUAAAAUAGGAGGCAUGGCUUUUAGAGCAGCCCUCCUUCUUUGUAGGUUGAUGUGAUAUUACCUACAUAAUCUGCAGCUACCAGCACAACUAAAAUUUGCAUUCUUAUAUGAACCUCAGUCCAGUCUCAACUAUAUACACAUACCUUAAAAGCAUAGGCAUAUACGGGUGCAGACUCUAGGUAUUAUGUUUCUACAUGUAGAACUUUAGUCACUGGUUUUCCUGCAGUUCAGCUUUGAACAUAAAGGUGGUUAAGGACUGACUACGCAGUCCAAAUGAGAACAAUAAUGGAAAGUCCUAUUGUACGUUUAACUAUUUAUAGCACUUAAAAAUACCUGCUGUCAGAUAUAAAAGGGCAUUUUAUAUACUUUCUCAGGAUGGUCAAAUCACUAUUUAUAUAAUAAAAUAUCUCAUCAUAUCAUCAUGUUUUAAUAUAGCUAUUAAAAAUGGAUAGGAGUUGACUGACUCACACACUACACAGAGUACCCAUUUGCAAAUAAUAAAGGAAAAUUUGCCAGUAAUCUGCAGUAAAAUAUGAACAGUUCUGUUAAUUCAAGUAGCACAGAUGCAGCAUGUGCCAAUUUAGCAAAUACAUAAAGCCAAAAAGCUUCUAGAAUCAAUCCAAUUUGUUCUGAAGUCACAGAAAUGUUGGCUUUAGAUGUAGUAGUAAUAAUGUACAGCUUAGAAAAGAAAUGGGAACUAAGCAAUCUAUCUGGAAAGCAGACGUGCAGAAUGGUCCUUUAUGCUCCUCAUGCAAUCCAGAUUCAGAAGAGCUACGAGAAAAAAAAAUUAAAAAGAAAGGAUGUAAUAAUAGACUUACAGUAAACCAAAUAAAGUCAUUUUAAAAUGACUAAAGAGCAAUAGCAAACGAAAAAUGCCUUUGGGUACGCCAUCUGUUUAUCCAUUCCAUAUUAUACCUUUUCAUCACAAUUACCUAAAGUAGUAUAUUUGUAUUUCUGUAAGGUAUGGAAUUCAUUACAUAGUUUUGCAAUGAAAUUAUCACACUGUGGCUGGGACAUCUGCACCCUGUCAUAUAUCAUUCUAUUCAUUUCUAGUUAAUUUAAUCCUAAUAUCUGCCUACAUGACAAGACAGAUGUUCAGCUAUACUGUAUCUUCCAUAGUUUUCUGCCUUGAAGAAACUUUAAGUCACUGAAAGAAAUGUCAUCUUUCAAACAGACAUCUUACGGGUUUGGGAAGUAUGCGUGUGCAGAUGUGUUUGUAUGUAUGUGUUUGUGUUUAUAAGCCAUAUUCCUUUUAUAAGAAGAGUGUUUUACAAAACAAAAGUCUUUUACAGCAUUUUCUAGAUUUAAACAUGUUUCAUUUCAGACAUAUGUCUUUCUUUUCAAAGUGUGCCUUAUUAACAUUUUGCCAUAAUUACUUAAUAGAAACAUAAUUUAUUUCUGUUGAAUUAAGUUCUAAAUCUCUUGCCUUGAACAGGACAGAUCUUUUUCACCAUUGAUAAUUAGAAGUCAUGGGCCAGUCUUCCUCUUCGCCUUCUCAAUCUGAACUCUCAAAAAUCAAUUGAUAUUCAAUCUUUACAGCUAAUAAUACUGUCAGACACAAAGGUGCCAAACAGAAGCACCUUACAUUCUACGUGUUUUACAGCUGUUUGAUUUGAAUUUGUAUGAACUUAUGUCAUUGGUCAGUUAUAGAUGUAAAAUAAAUUUGUAACACAUCUAUGUGGGAAAAGUAUUGACCACAUUGUGAAGUACUUGCUUCUAAACAUUCUUGCCACAGUGCUCUUCAAGUAGAGCUUUCAAGGCUGUCAAAGAGCUUUAUUCUGCUUUCCCCGUACAGCAUAGAUUACAGACUAUAUUUACAAAAGGACUUUAGACUUUGAUAUCUAUUCACCAAUCAGCUCCCCAUUCACCAUUCCAAUCUAAACAUGGACACAGUAAAUUCCUUCAGGCACCACAGCAACUAACAGUGUAGCAUUGCUCAGAAUUGUACUUAGUUUUCCUCAUUUUGAUGUAACUGAAGUCAUACUUGUGACUUUUCAGUUUAAGGAUUUACAACUGUCAGGCAAAUCCCUUUUCCAGCUACACUUUCAUAAUACCAGUAUCGAGCAUCUUCAUUUUCAAGCACACAUUGCUUCUGUGAUAAACAAAAUGUAUUUUACUUGUCUGCCCUGCAAAACAUAAACAUCUCUUCAACCACUAUCAUAGUAAAAUAGUUCUGUCAGUGUAGAAGCGCAUGAGUGACAUUUUUAGCAUUUAACAGAAGACACAGUAGAACUCACAGCCAUUACACUGCUCAGUGCAAUUCAACACAGUUUCACACUAUUCUGCUCCAUGAAUAAGAUUAGAACACCAGGUCUUUGACUGGCCAAUAUGUAUUCUGUCUGCUUAGACUGUUUCCCCAAAUCUCUGUGUUCUCCCAUUAAGCUGUUAACUGGGUAAGUAAGUAUUUGUAGUGGAAAUGCUGUCACAGCCUGAAGCAGUGAUUGAGCACCUGGUGGGAAGGCAGGGCCAACCCAGGGGAGCUCAGCUGUAUGCAGUGCAGCUGAGUGAUUAGAAGGGGUGGAGCCAGGAUGCACCCCUUCCCAAACCUCAUGUAAGGGUUGGCAGCAAAGGUAAAGGGUAUCUCUCUGGAGAUUCCUGCCUACUGGAGCUCUUUUGAAGGUAAGCAGUUUUUCUUCCUUUGUUUCUGUGUCUAUGGCUGUUGUAUUUGGGUUUGUUCUCAUAUGUUGUAGCCUAGGAUUGUACUAUCCUGCUACUGUCACUGUACUUUCCCUCACAUUAUAGCAUUACAGUAUUGCAGCUAUUAUUUGAUGACAUUUUACUACCCUGUGAACAAUAGAGGUUAAAAGUAGUAGUUGUGGUCCCACACAUUGGGUGGAACACAUUUAAAUGAACUUCACAGCGUAGACAAAACAGCAUAUGUUGUGCACUUACAGGGUUACUUCUAUAUUAACUUAUUUUCCUACACCUCUGAAUAUGUAAGUUUAAAUUCUAUGCCUGUAAGCUGCCAGAUAAGCCCCAAGCAAAUUACAUGCAGCUGUUGGAUUGGAUAACAGUAACUGAUUACACAAUGGACAUCCAGAUAAACAUGAACUGACUUUAGUGUAGUAAGUGUCCAAAAAUGACAAAAGAUUUUAAAAUUGUUUCUCUGAUGUAGAGUGAAAUAGUUCAGUUAGCUAAUAAGCAGCUUGAACGUUAAAAGGACUUUGGGAAAAAGUUCUGAAAUUGCUUCCAGCCCUUUUAUUUGAUUUUUUUUUUUAAUAAUUUUUAUUUACUUGUGUUUUUGCACUUCUGGGUUAUGAUAUUCCUAUUUUAAAAAAUUCCUUUUAAAUUGUAGCUAAUUUAAACCAGGAACAAUCUGAACCGAGAUAUCAGGCCAGGGACCAUCUAACAUUUGUUGCCAUCUCUUUGCGUUUUCAAUUGAAAUGUUAAUCCAUGUGCUCUAUAAAUCAGCAGAAACUACUCCACAUCUUGAAUCCCCCAGCUUCAAAAUCAAAAUUCAUUUCUUGCUGUGCGUUUUGGUGCUGCUGUAACACCGCUUCUAAAGCUUCUUAUUAAAAAAAUAUAUUUUUUAAUCUUAUGUACAUUUACAGGCAUAUAUAUGCACGUAAGCUGACAAUGUGUUUCAUACCUGUACCAAUGCAAAGAGCCAACACCUCUGCUGGACUGGUCACUAAUUGUCAUAUGUUGUAUUCCUUGCGGAGAUGCUAAUGAUAUUUGCCAACAGUUAUUAGUUGUGUCUAUUUCCACAAGCUUAGAGGAAAAAACAAACAAACAAACAAAAGAUAUAACUGUGGUAUAUUCCAGGAAAUACAUGAAGUUCUGAUUCUGUGGCAAAAGACCUUCAGCUUUUCAGUAGUAAGCACUACCGGUCAGGGGGCAAUAAUACAGCUUCAGUAACUGCUUUAGUGAAAUGUCAUUGGCUGUUGAGAUUUUUGGUGACAGUGACAAGCUAAAACAGCAGCCUUUUCCACACUAAAGUGUAGUAGAAUAACUAUCAGGAAUUAAGCCAAGUUCUAGCACAGGAUUCUUAAUACAUCUGAGAGGUUUUAGAUUUCUAAUACAAACUGCGUUAAGGUUGGCAGUAGGCCUAGCUCCCCUGUGAUAUGAAACAGUAGCACAAGCCCUGGGACAUUUUUGGUCUGUAGGAUUAUUUGUCUAGUUAAAUAUGGUUAGAUAGGGUGUUUUUUUUCUUAAGAAAUAAAAAAAAUAAAAAAUAAUAAUUAAAAAAAUCCAAAACUGGUAAAGGAAUGAGAAUUCCUGUCUAAGGCUGGUUCUCAAGAUUCCCAGAAUGGAUCCUUGGGGAUAGUUGGUCUAUUUCCUAACAACAUGUAACAAGAUUGUUCAAUUAAAAACAUAUGUACUUGAAUGAAAAGUGAGAUAUAACUGGAGUGAACAAAGAGACGAUCAAAUCAAGAUGAGUGGGAUAUUAAAUUUCUGAGACAGUGAAUUUACAAAAAGGUUAGACAAAAUAGGUAACACUGAAGUGCAUGUGGAAAGACCUCAGAGAAAUAAACACUCGACUUUCGUAGACUGGAUGGCUUAAUUUAUAGAUAUAAUCACAAAUACUGAAUAGAAUUAAUGGCUUUUUUUUUUUCUUCCACUAUUUUAAGAAUCUGUAAGUAUUAUAUAAAGUAUAGGUGGUUUAUAUUUAUCUUGCUGUACUCUUUGGGGUCUGGCUGUUGAGCAGGUGUCUCCUGACCUGAACCAGAGCCUCUAUAAGAUAUGCUAUAGAACUGUGCAUUCAGUAAUGUUUGUCAGUUCAAACUACUUUUUGGUAAUGGUGCAGGCUUUUGGCUUCUGUGCUGUCUGUGGUAACGGUAUCUUGACAGGCAGUGUUUUUAAUAAUUAAUCAAAUCUUCCAAGCUACAGUGAGACACAAAGAUCCUUCAUGCUUCAAUAGAAAGAAUUCAGAGUUGAACGAUCAAGUAUUUUCUACCUUUUUCUUUGUUCUGGUGUUAGAUAGGGUAUGACUACUACUUGCAAUUGCAACUUGUUGAUUCUUUAAUGAAGAGAAAGGGAUUAGUGAUGCUGUCUUCCAGAACUGGCAAAAGGCUCUUUUUUUUUUUUUUUUUUAGCAGAAGUUUUAAAUACUGUUAUGCUUUUUUUCUUUAGGAUGUAUGUUUGCUUCAAGCUUCCAAAAUUCAACUCCUUAGCCUCGUAUCAAUGUGGUGUGUCAUCUGAGAAAAAUUUCACAGUCAUGCUCACGUUGUCUGACGGUUAUGUUCUUAUAUUGUUCAAGAUCCUUAAAAUCAAGCUAUCAAGGCACAAACUUGCAGUUAUUUAUAAGUUUGCCAGAUCAAAUACCCAGAAUCACAAGAGCACUUUCCACCUACGCGCAAGUUAUCAUGCUUACAAAGUUGGGUAUCAACAAAAAAACCUGUUAGUUUGGGGCAUUGUAACACCAAGCUAUUAUUCAUUUUCUUCAAAAAGAAGAAAGAGCAAGGGUUGUAAAUUAGACUUUAGUCAUGUCAGGCCUUACUUAAGUACGUUUUAACAGCAUAUAGUUAUAAACUUUAUUGGACAAUAAACAGAGAUUUUUUUAAAGGCUUUUGAAGCUGAAGAAGAGCUUGAUUUGCCAGCUCUCUUAUUGUACAUGCUGGCAACUCCAGGGAACAUUGAGAUAAAGGUGAGUCUCUAUAUUUUAAUGAUAGCCUCUAGUUCUGAGAAUGACAUGCAGUACUCGUUUGUACUCUGGGUACUGUCCAGUAUCUCCCACAUAAUUCUGUAUACAAAACCUUUUUCAAAUGCUUGGCCCUCAGCAAUCAUGGUCAAGUGGAUGUAGCAUUGUUUUUCAGGUCCUAUUUUUUGUAGAACAAGAAUGCCAAAAUUUGCUUAGGAUACAUCUUGAGAACUUUGAAAAUUAUAUAUAUGAAAAGGAUGAAACUACUUGUUGCUAUUCUGUUGAGUUCUGAAAGGCUAGUAAACAUCUGGGCACUAAGGUUCAAGAAUGUGAUUUAGAAAUAUAUAUAUAAUAUAUAUAAACAUUAUAAACCAGGUAGAAAAAGAGACUUUUCUCAUUUAAGCUUCUCAGAGGAGUUUUUUCAGAAAUACUUAAGUUUACUGCAGCAGGGAAUCUGGAGUACCAAAUACAGCCAUUGUGUGAAGUCCUAGCCUUUAAAUAGUUACAUGCCAUACUUGAUUUAGCAUGGUUUGGCUAUCGGGGGGAGUCAUUGUACAGUAAGUUGCAGAUGAUGUGUAUCACACUGAAUGCUCUCUACUAAUUCUUUGUAGAAAAACUUAGCUUUUAGUCUUUAUUUUAUUAGUCCUGUUCAACAUAACAACUCAUGUUUUUAGAUGUUAUUCUAUAUAUUAAGAACUGGACCCUUGAUCCUGACUCCAUGAAAGCUUCAUUUACUACCUUUCCAAUUCAUUUUACCUCCUUCCACAUCUCAUAUGCUUAGCUGACUGACUAGACAAUCUUUGGUCACUUAUGUUCUGCAGGUCUCUGUGCCAGUGAGUAGCUCUAAAAAGUUGAUGUUUCCAUCCUGGAAAUGUGCAGGGUUUUUUUUGUUUGUUUUUGUUCUUUUUUCUCAUUUGAUUUUUAAUAUUAUUUUUAAUAUUUAAGUCAUUAGGGAACUCUGAAGGCAUCAAUUUGUUGCUUCAAUAGCACGAGGUUGUUGCUAAAUUUAUUUGGUUUAUACAUGGUGAUUAAGGGAGAAUGAUUCUUUUUUUCCUGCCCUUUGAGGGAGCUUAUGGUGUUAUGGGCGACAUGUCAGCAAUAAUUAAGAAAUAUCCUGGUUCAAAUCCCAAAAGAUACAUAUUUUUACAAAUAAUUCCCCAUGGAAAAACUUUAAAAAUGAUGCACUUGUUCUGAAAAAUGCUUCAAGCCUUCUCUAAAUAGAUUAUAUUGCUGGGUUAUUUAAGAGUGCGUGACUUGAGGUGCACAUUUUGCUUGUAACUCGUAAAACCACAGCACAGUUAAUCAAGGGGAAAAGCAGGAGUAAUGUUCAGUGAGCUCCUAUGUCUCACAAAGGAUUUAUCGUUCAGUCAAUAACACAGCUUCUUGUUAUAUUCAAUUGUCAUACGAAGAACGUAAGAGUUUCUUCAGCCAAGAGCAGAAAUGCCUUUUGUUGGCUUCACACUUUUUUUUUUUUUUUAAACACAACUUUCCCUUGUAGGCUUUCCCACCUAUCUGGACUCCAUGGAUUGAAUUUCUUUCUCUCCUUUUGAGGAUAGUCUUUUAGUAUAAUAUAUUUCAAAUACAGCCUAGUGCUGUAAGCCUUCUGGUGUGUUUUACAGUUCAAUUUUCCUAGCAACUGCAUAGAAUAAUCACAGCACUUAGAAGGAUAUCAACUGCAGAUGCACUCCUUAUAACAAUAACCUGCUGAAUAAAAAAUGCUUUCAUCUUUUUUUGUAACAAUCUUUCCUAAUUUCAAAAAAACUGAACACCAGACUUUAAAAACGUUGUUCCAAACUGAAACAGCUUACCUUGUUCCAUCUUCUGCUUAGGAGUCAGUGAAAGGAGAAGGAAGAAGGGAAGUCAAAUAAAGCACAUAUAAAUUAAGGUGAAACCAGAACAGAAAGAAAUGAGAAGAGGGUAAAGGUUGAACUUAUGAAUUGAAACUUUCUCUUAAUGCCUACCACCCAUUGGUUCUGAACAGCCAUAAUAUUUCUGCUUUAUAUAUGAACUCAAAUUUUUACACACAAAGUUGAUUCAAGAACUAAACUUCUUGUCCUUCAGGCAAUGGAGAUCAGGGCACAUAAUGGAGUAUUCACAUCAAAUCUCUUAAGGGAGAUGCAUUUGACACACACAUUUUGGUGCUAUUUUUAGGUCCAUCGUAGAAUUGUACAAAACACUGUGCACAGUUAGGAGAUAGAAGAUAUAAAAUAAAAGUACAAUCAACUUUGUCAUUACACGCCAUGUUCUUCUGAUUAAUAUUUGACUAUCCAUGAACAGCAAGAGAUCAAACAGCUGAGCAUAUCCAGCAUACAGAAAUUGCCUUUGCCCCUCACCCCAUCAAAACUAAUAAUAUUUAAAAAUAAUCUCCUGCCUACUGUUAGAAAAUAGCUAAAUAUGAACUCUGGAACAUUGCUAUCACUGGAAAGUGGCUAUGAAAUUUUAGGGACAGUACAUAACAGCAGCUUCGUAUACAUGUACAAACAAUUGAGUAGCAUUUCAGUCCUCUUAAAGAUGAGACAGAAGAAAAAUAGUUCUUUAGAAAGCAGCUGGUGGUUUCAUUAUUGAGAGGAAUGAGGUUUCUACAGGAAGGAAGUCUUCCUGUAGAAGGUAGGUCUCUUGAUUUUUGCACAAGGGUAAGUGAAAGAAACAUUUCCUUCAGAGAGACAGAAGCAGCAGUAGAGUCUUGUGGACACAGCAGCAAUUCCUGGCAUCUACAUCCUUUAUCCUAUUGACAUCUGUAUCUGUAAUCCACCUCUGAUCCAUCUCUCAGAUUUCAAUUCCUUAAUUACAUGUUCAACAGAGGGUAAGCUACAGAAGGCAGCACAUUCAAGUCAAGCAUGAUGAGAAAAUCACAUUUCAGAUUCCCUGUAUCUUGCCUAUAUAUGCCUUAUCUUCCUCAUAAUGGUUUUUUUUUCUGGUUUCGUUUUCAGGGGCUUCCUUUAAUUUGAACAGGUAUCUAUGUAGUAAUGUCCAUCCUCUUGUACAGAUACAGAUUCUCUUGUCCUGAAAAAAACCCUUUAGAACACCCAAGCAAAGUUGCUUCAACACUUCAGAAGAUCAGGGAUUCAAGCAUCUGGCUAACACUUUUCUCUUCUGUCUUCCCACCAUCUUCCAGUCUCAAUUUCAACCAGUGAAAUUAUGAUCCAGUAACUUAAAUCAAGCUGCUCUUUUAGAGAAUUGGACUGGAAUUUUAGACUGUGCUACUCACUUAGCAUAGGUGUAACUUAGAUGCAUAGUUAUGACUUACGAUUAGUACUUAGCAGCAUAUAGCAAUCAGAAAGGGAUAUCAAUAAGAGGGGAACUCAUGCAGCAUGCUUUAAUACAGUGAAUGUUACAUGUCAACAGUUGUCUUCUGUAGUUCAUGUGAAAAUUGACCCUUUUCCUAGAUUCAGUAGCAAAGCCAGUGCAGGAAAUGCAAUGACAGAAAUCCUUCUGAUACAGUAAUUACUACACUUCCUUAAAAAAAAUCUUACAUUUAAAACAAAGCAAACAAAAACAAAAUUGUUGUAACAAUAUAUCUCCUAUAAAGAAAAAAAAAGCCUAUUUUUAAAAUUAAAGAAGCAACAUUAAGAUUCAAAAAAGAUUGUAACAUUACAGCAGCAUUCUGAAUCUUCACCUGGAGUAUUACAUCUUUUUUUCUCAAUUUGGUUUUUUUUUUCUUUCAGUCCACGAAGAAAUGGAGACAUGAAAAUGGCAUUUUUAGCCAGUAACUCAUGCAUUUAGAUUUCUGGGUUUAGGUUUUGGAAAAAAUGCACCUAGUUGUUUUCUUAUUACAAUACUGCUGGUUUUGUUCACCGGGCCAUGUUUUUCUUGGAAUGUGGUAAUGUGGAACGUUUUAAAUUAUGGGCUUUACUUUUUACUAUCCAAUGUCUACUAAAUAAGUCCAUCAUCUAAUUCUAAAUUGGUGAAGCAGCAAACUUACGCUUGUAGCCAGCAAUACAUAUAUUUUUCACUCCAGAGAAAAGUCCUUCUGUUCUAAAUUUACUGAAGAGAGUUUCACAGACAAAAGAAAGGCUCUUUGCCAAACCUAGCUUUGCUUCUUUAUAAUAAUACUUUAUGUCUCUUCAAAUAUCCUAACAAAAUACUGUAAACUGCUGAGAAGUUUCCAUCAAGGCUAUAAUCAAUAAUAGCAGUUGCUAAGCUUCAGCUGACAUAACAUCAGAAUCUUUUGCAUACAAGUGCUUAAAAUGAGACAAUGGAACAAAUGAAGGCAUUAGAUUGGAUGUAAAUAUUAAUCAAAGUCAUAUUUUACUCUCUAACUAUAAACAGUUUUUGAAAUAUGAACCACGCAUUAUAUUAAAGAGAUACAGGAUGUAAUCGUUGCUACUGCAACCCACUGCAUAUUUUGCCACCCACCACAACAAUCACCAUUGUCUGCUGAAUACACACUGUUUGGAAUAUGUACUGAUGGGUGCAUUAAAAAGGUAGAGAGAUUCUCAAGGGGUUUGGAUUAGGGAGUUAGUCUGAAUAAGAAACGCAGAGUUGGAAUUAUAAUCUGAUAUUUAUUUGAAGCUCUGGAAGGUUACCCAUCUGAUUCCUUCCCUUAAGUUUUGUAGCGUUGUUCUUGUGAUUGAGUCGCUGGGCAGGAUUCAGCUCCCCAGUCUGAUACAAACUUAAUUUGCUGAGAAAUUCUAGUCCUAAACUUCAAGCUAAUACCUAGUGUUUCGCUUCCCCUUUUGUCUUAUUGUCUGCUUAGGUUCUAUCUGAGUAGGAAUGUCUGUCUCAUAUGUACAAAGAGUAUACAGAAUUACAAAAAUCCUCAUUUCAGCUAGAUCUCUAGGUACUGCUGCAAAUGCUUAAUUUUCCCAUCUUUUUGGGAAUUUAAAAAAGUCACCCUCAUCUCUAUGCCCAUUAUUAUUAUUUAAGAAUGUUGGAGUUCAAAGCUUAAAAUUGUCUUCCCGGAAAGAAAGAAAAUGAAGUUUUAAAGUUCCAGUGUCUGUCUCCUUAAAAAGACAUCUGGGACGCCCAUUUUAUCUAAUGCAAAUUGAAACAAUGAAGUGAAACUCUUCCCAGGUUCUCUUUCCAACCCCACUCAGCAAGACUCUCUCCUUGUCAAAGAAAGAAAAAACACCAGGCACUCCAGUACUUGGAAUUACUAUGGAUAUCUCAGAACCACAAACUGAGAUCAUUUUCAGCUUGAUUUGAAUACUCUUUGACUGACACUGAUAGUGGUUUUGAAGAGGAUUUGCAAAGUAAGAACCAACUGUAUCAUUUUAGAAAUAGUUCAUUUGAAGAAGCCCCCAUAAUUACAUCAUGUCUGUGAAGGUAUUAACAUUUCCCCCCCAUAUUUUAUAAGCUACUAGUUCAAGAGGCUCUUCAUUUCAAUGAAGAAAAUGGAAAUUAUUCCCCACCUAGCUCUUUAGAGUAUUAAUGUGCUUAUUUUCUUCAAGACCACAGACUUGCACAUUGCAGAUUAUACUGAAGAAACAUUCAAGCUGACUCCUUCUGCUCAUUCCCUCUCCCACUUCCUCAAGUAAGAGUUUUUAUUAGUUUACUUGGAGGGCUUCCAGCAACUUCUAUCUGUAGCGUGGGUUUUGAGCAGGUGAAUGUGAAGAACAAGGUCACAGGCAAACACUUAAUUCUCAUGUAGAGCUAUGGAGUUUUAUUUUGUAGCACAAUAUAAAAUAAAGGAAAACUACCUUUCAAAAUUCCAUAUAAGAAUCUUCACAAUAAGAGAAGUUGGCAUGGAAUAAUUUGUCAUCAGAAAUUUUUAUUCUGCAAGCCCUUCUGUAAAAAGCUAGGCACCUCUCCCCUGUUCCCUACUUUUAGCUAUUGUAUUUGCAGAUCUGGAAAGACUUAGAUGGUUUUUAACAUACAAUAAGACCAUAGUCAGUAAUAACAGAAGCCUGAUGGUUUAUGACUUCUGUGACUAACACCAGCCUACUGGGCCUAUUAAUAGGUCUAAUGUUACCUUGAACUGCUCUUGCACUGACUUUGUACUGCAAAGACUUAUACUCACUGCAAGGGUUGAUAUAUGAAACUUGGAAAAUCAAACAAGCAGGUAAGAUAGUACUACUAUUCUGUUCUUCUUCAUGUUUAUAUUUCACCUUCUAGUCAUCUUGUAUAAUAAAGAACAGCUGCAGAACAGGCAAGAUCCAUAAAAAAACAGAAAAAACCAAAAUGUCAAAUUUUGAUAGUAUUAACUAGCACUUUCAUGCAUGCACACUGAGGGCUGUGCCAAACUAUUUACUUGUAUGAAUAUUUGCCCUUCCAAAAACCUAGAAAAAAACUGAGUCUCAGUUACAAUUCACCCAUAUUAGCUACUAUUCACUUUUAGGAAUCACAGUCUCCAGCCCACUCACCAGAAUGCUACUAAGUGAAGAAAAUGCUACCAUCAAUUUUCAUUUCAGUUUAUUGCAAAUGCUUUUCUUUCCACAAAAUGAGUUCUUAAUUUCCCUUAAUAAGCCUAUUCCCAGAAGGGCACUGGAACAGAAAUUUGCAUUUGGUUCUAUAUGUUUUCCUCAGACCACUGUUCAGGUAUCCAUACUUCUGUCAGAAAGUGGAAUACCAUUUGUAAAUUUAAGAGGAAGAAUUUUUAAAGAACAAUGUGAAACUAACACAUGCACUCUGACUCAGAACUCCCACUCAUAUCAUUUUUUGUUAAAUCCAAAAAAAGUGUUUCUUUCAGAGUCUUUGGAAUUCCUUUAGAGCAAUGAUGCCUGUUUUUCUUGAUUGUUUUUUUUUUUAAAUGAGCAAUUCGUGUGUUCAUUUUCUAUGACAGCACUAGAACAGUGUUGAAAAGUAUCUAAACCACAUAGAAAACUCAGUUAUGAUGGCAGUUAUUUCAAUUCGUCAAAUUGCAUAAAAGAUAUGACUUUUACUACACACUAAACAAUGAAUGAACUAAAGAAAAUAUGAAAUGCAUACCCUGUUGCCCACAGUUUUAGGGUAUUUUGUCAGGGAUGCAGCAAACACAACCAGGCUCCAGUUCUUCAGUUCAGUAACUACUUCUGCAGAACUGAAUGGAGUCCUUUUAUUAGCAGGUGAGGAAACAGAUUUCCUUCAAUGCCUUUCUGACAAUGUACUACAGUUUAAGUAUCUCACUCGGUUGAAAUGCAGCAAUCAGGAACUCCUAACUGAGGGAUGGGAAUAAAGGCAUGACCCUUCCUCAUUGAUUAAUAUUCAUGAUCUGGACAGCUUCCUCCACUUUCUCCUCCAGCAAGUUUCAGUCUUUAUGAAUAUUACUCUCUGGUACUUUUAUCUUAUAGUGCACGGAAAAUUUGGAUCCUGAAGAUGAUGUGAACCCUCCCAGCUAGCAAAGCACUUGAAAAUAAUUGUUACAACACAAAGAAAAGUUACAAUUCUAAAUUGAAUUUGUUAUUCUCUCUGUAAUUACCUUCUACAGUAUACUUGUUUUAGAUAUGUCAGUUACCAUUUAUAAUUUACAUUCCUAGAAGCAGAGUACAGAUGUCUCAAAUACUUUUCAACAUUCUUUGUACUAAAUACUGCACAAGCCCAGAAAGAAACAGCUCUCACUUUAACAAACUUACCAUGUAUGCAUUGCAAGGAAAGCAAUGAGAAGUUUGGUCUACACACUUCAGAGGAAAAGGAAGGCAUAUAGCUUCUCUGUUUGCCAAAGCCGUGCUGCUAAGACAGUGUAUUAUCACAGUAAUAUUCAGAAUAAUGUUUUAAGUAGGAAUGCAGCUGAUGUUUUAUGUGUUCUUUUCAAAGAUUUCAGUGGUGAAAAUUCACAAACGUUAUACGCGCACUUAAUUUUUUAUACUGUAAUUGCAAAAUGAGGCUUGAGCCCUAAGGUGUCUUCAUUAAUUAAAUGUAUCAGUUUAAUGCAUGCAUGCAAGUGUGUACAAAACCUUACUUGCUAGACAAUCUGUGUAUUGUACUUCAGAGUUUAAAAAAAAAACAAAUGGGGUGAGGGAAGCAAUGUUUUAUUUUUAUUCUUAAAAUGUAGAUGAAACAAAUAAAAGGAGGUCGUGUCAAAAUGUACUUACCAUUUCUGUUUUACCAUUACCAAGGAGCUAUCAGUUUUCAAAGGUCUUGGAGGGCUGUGGUAUAGAAUUAUUCCUGCAAGGACUGGGGUCCAAAUUUCAAAGGCUCAGAAUUGAAAAAAGCAAAAGAGGGUCUCAAGACACCGUAACACUGUGUAUCUUUAAGGAAUCAUAUGAGCACCUAACCAACUCUCCCUAUCCCAGGGAUGUUCUUUUACCUUACCUCCCAAGGGCCUUUCUAAACUCUUGCUGAAGAAAAUAGUUGAGUAAUUGUGAAGUCCAGCUAGCUAGCAUAAAGGAGAUUCUGAGCUACUCUCUCACAGUAGUACUGUUACAGAGGUGGAAUUUUUGUUAUACUGGGAGUCAUCUCUUUCAGUUAGUGCAAUGACAACUUUUAGUUUCCUAAGGUAGUAAAAGAUUCUCAAGCCUCUGAAUGCAGGCCUCAUCCCAUGUCAUCCAUUUGAUUCCCCCUGUAGGUCCGUUGUCAAGGAAUAAACUAAUAUGUCCUAAGCAAAAAAUUUUAUUUCUUAAAUGUCUCUAGAAUGCAUAGUAUUUCUCACAGGGUUUAUGCCACAUUGACUUACUUGUUACAUUUGCACACUAGGCCUUUGUUAAGGUAUAGAUUUUUGUAAAGCUCCUUUUCCAUAGUGUUGAAUUGCUGGUCAAAAGAGAGUUUCCCACACCGUAAGACUCUCUAACACCACAUGCCUUCUUCAGCUGUUGAAAACUGCAAAAAGAAAAUGCUCUUUAACAUGCCAAUGCCAUGCUGAAUGGUAGUUGUAUGUGAUAUCAUUUCCUUUGUACCUGGAAUGAUAUGAAAAAAUAGACUUUUCUGCAGUUGACUGUACUAAGAAUACUACUUCAGUAAAGACUAUGUUAAACCACAGCCCUCUCAAGUCUUACUGGUUAAGGCCAGUUAAAAAAAAAAUUCAACUACUCUCCAGCUUUUCAAAGACAACCUGACUUAGCAAAUUGAAAAGUCACUCUAUCUUAUUCGCAGUUAACACAAUUAGCAGGAGGGUUGAAUUCACAACCAAAUUUAUAGGCAUAACCAACCACUAAUAUACAUAUACCAUUUCCCUCCCUGAAGCUCUUGCACCAAGCAGAAAGCAAGCACUAAACAGUCAAACUUCCAUAUAAUGUUAUUGCUGUUAUUAUUAUUAUUAUGCACAGAAACACAGAAUAGCUAAGGUGCCUCUGCAGACUGCCUAGUCCCCACACAAAGCAGGGUCAGCUACAGUAAGUUGCAAAGUGCCAUGUUCACUUGGGCUUUGAAUUUCUCCAGGGGUAAAAACUCUACAACUUCUGUGGGCAACACAUUACAGUGUUUGACUAUCCUCACAAUCAGUGUUGCUUUAUAUAUUUAAAUGCUAUUUACUGUAUUUCAGUUCGUGCUCCCUGCCUCUCAUCUGUCUCUGAAUGUCACAUUUUUCAAUGAUGGUCCAUAUUUUGCCACUGUGGCACUAAGAUUCUUCUUUUUUCCAGAAUUUUUUUCUUUUCUCUCAUGCCUUCUACCUCAAUUAAAUUUCAGCUCUGACCCCCAGGUAAACAACUACAAAAAAAUUACACUAAGAAUUCUGUAAAGGUAUGAAGCCUUUCUUUGUUUGUCAACCUUCUCACUACAAUUUUCUAUACUUCUAGCAUCAUUUCUGUGACAGGAAAUAAACAGCAUAAAGUACAGCAUUCUGUGAGAAGGCCAUACUCAUAUCACUGGAGCUCACUCUGUGAAGAGUUAGCCCAGACUUCCACUCCCCCUCCUAACUGUCAAAUAACUAUUAGGAUAACUAGCAUUUAUUUAUUUAUUUAUUUAUUUUUAGUCUCUGCAAAGCUGAGAUCUUUUUCCGGCAAGUUCACAGUUCAAGUCAAUUUUACAGCCAUGCUACCAAACAAAAUAAAAAUACAGGGCUUAAUCAUGGAAAACCUGACACCACCUGCAAUAUAACUAACUGAGCAGGAGUGAUUCUGUAAUAUUUUUUUUAAGCCUACAGAAACCAAGCAAUGUUAAUUAUUAAUCAAAAGCAAAGCACCCAUUUUAAGCAUUUUUCAUGGAGAUGCGCUCAUUUAAUUUCUUGCUACUCUGUAUUAUUUUAUAUCAGUAACUGUCAUUCAAAGCCAGCACCACUUACACAACUGCAAGGACACUGCUCAGAGAUGACACCCCAACACAGGACACAAGCCCUAACAAAAACACUGAACUAAUCAGCAGUGCAAUCUUGUCAUCUUCCUAUGUUACUGUCUUUUCCUUUUUGCCCACCCAAACACUCCAUACUCACAUAAGGUACAGUGUUUUAUAUUGUACCACUAGCAGUUCAGAAAAGAAGAAUCCCUGUCAGUACUCUGUGAUUUCAUCCCUGCAAGAAAGAAUACCUAAGGAAUACACAAUGGGACAGAACCUCACAGAUUUGUUUCAAGCCCACGGAUACCAAGGAAAUCACCAAAUGUCAUUUUGUUCCGCAUUGUUCUUAUUUCUUAGCCUUUACUGAGGAACACAAAAAGCAAUUCCAUCUUCUUGUGUUUCUUGUCAACUUCUUACCUGGGAGAGGUGGGAGAAAUCAACUUGAUAAGUAACUGCUUAGUUCUUAAGAAACAUCUGGAAAGGUGAGGUGACAAAAGCCCACUGAGAAUGAGAAACGUAGUUAAUAAAAAGUCACAUACAUUUUAAAAUGAUACACUGUCAAACAAAGGUUUUAAAAUGCAGACUAAAAUGUUCUUACUUAUCAUGAUCUUGGUCAUCGAUCUGGAAUGUACGUUUUCUGUUCUCACUACAGUCUCAAGGUUGCUGUGAAUUAAUUGUGUGCUUCCUUCAGUCCUCAUUACAGUCUUUGACACAAGAAUGAGUUUUCACAGAAGUGAAUGCCAGGAUGUUCUGAUUCUCAUUGAAUAUUCUCAUUAAUCCAUUCUUAGGACAAAGAUAAUGAUAAAGAAUAAGUACAGAUAUUAAUUAUUUUAUUUCUUAUGGCAAUCCUGGGUAUGUAAUGAGAAUGAAAUGAUUGCCUCUUUUUGGUUCUAAAGUAAGGGUUUUUAAGGAUAGAAAAAUAUUCAAAAUUAAUUUAUUCUUGUAAUUAAACUGUGAUAAGACCAGGAGCUUAAAACACAUCACAUUAAUUCAUUCUCAAUGCCAGUUUUAAGGGCCCAAACCUGUACGUGUCAAUUAGAGUGAGAAGGAGAAUACAGGUCAGCGGAGAGUAGAGUAUCACAAUUCUUUAAAAAAGAUAUACUGAAAAUAAAUAAUUGUAAUAGUCUUAAAAUAGCAGCAAGACAUAAUGACUAUUUAGAUCAUCUCUCUUUACAUUUCUAUUCAUUUACAACAGGACUUCUGUCUUGGAAGCUGUGCAUUAUUACAGUUCUUUCAAAGACAGCUAAAGCUAUCAUAAUCAUUUCUGAGACGCUUAAAGUAAAAUCCAUCCAGCUUUCAUGAGAGAGACAUGUUUGAGAGAGCAAACACUGGUCAUGGGGCACAUACUAUCACCUACAGGAAAGGCGUUAAGGAACCCUAGGCUACUCAGAUUGUUCAGGAGAAAACAAAGCCUUGAACUCCCAACAGCUAACAAAUACAGCUCUCUCAGUCCAUCUUCAUAGCAGAGGUGCUCCAGCCCUCUGAUCAUCUUUGCAGCCCUCCUCUGGACCCUCUUCAACAUCUCCACAUCCUUCUUGUGCUGGGGGCCCCAACCCUAGAUGCAGUAACUCCAGAUGGGGCCUCAUCAACCUCUUCUUUGGUAGGUUCUUAUCUCUUUCAACUAAGCUUGCAUUCAGCAGUUAGAAGAUCUUAAAUCUGUGUUUAAAUCUUACAUUACUCAGCAUAAAACUAACUUUGAUUUCAGUGAGCUUUGCAGAAUGAAGAUGAGGAUAAUAAAUUGAUUUUUCCUAGCCUAUUAAAUUCUAAAAGGAAGGAAUUCUUUUCCUUAACACUACACACCUUGUAUCUCAUUUUAUUUUGGCUUUGUUUGUAUUUUUAUGAAUACUCUAGCAGACUAGUCAGGGAAUGGGAAUAUUCACCUAUUUAUUAAACUUGAAGUUUGAUACAUUAAUGCUAGAAGCAGUGAAAGCCUUCAAGGCACUCCUAGACUUAUAUGUAAUACUGCAUUCAGCAGCAGCAUCUUAUUCACAUUAAGAUCUUGAUUCUCAGAUUUUUUCAUCCAGUUGGAUAACAGGGUUGCAAUGUCUAUCCCAUUUCAUUACUCCAAAGAACUCAAACAUCAAUUUGUACAGUCUAGAUAUUUGCAACGAGUAAACCACAGAUCGAGAAAUUACUUUCCAAAUAAUGUCUAAUUGUGAAAGAAACACACUACUUUGCAGUAAGAAGAGGGGUGGAAACUUGUACGGUACUGGCUAUUGUCCAUUCACCCAGCUUUGCAUUCAUAUGGCAGAUUUCCCCAAUUUCUAAACAAUGUGGAUGUGAUAUUACCUCACUGACUGCCAUUUGAAACGUCUUUCAUCACACCAAAGGUGAAAGUAGUCAUAUGUCUUUUCAUAUAUUCUAUCCCUAGUCAAAGUGUCUUGGGAAGGCAUUAAGUAGAGUGCUUUCUUACAGUAUUGUAGCACUAACUAGGAGAGGCCAAAAGAAAAGAAAAAACAAGCCUCUGGGAGUUGGCAGAGAAUUCACUGGGACAGGUAAAAGCUUAGAAGAAUUUGCAAGAGUAAAGGCCAUAGACUAUGGGAAACUUUUUCUUUUUUUUUUUUUUUUUUUUGGUUUGUAAGUACUGUUUUAAAUAGGAAUUUCAGACAAGAAAUUAAAAUUUAAACAAUGUAAGUGCCUCAGAGAACCAGGCUCUAAAGCAGUCCCUUAAUGGGACUCUGACACUGCCUUUAUUUUUUAAUGUGAAGAAGGGAAAGGAUUUGUCAUUAAACUUUAAAAAUAAUCAAAAUAAAAAUCCUUUUUGUUUUUGCGGGCUGGCAGUGUUACUAAGAACGACUGUGUUCACUUAGUGCAUGCCCACUGGUAGGGAGAACUUCCCUACGUGUAACAGGGAUUAGAGUUCCAAAUUUAAGUUUGUCUUGGCUGUCCUGGGAUCUAUGUAUUUUUUCAAUCAAUCAUGCUGAACUUCUGUCUGAAUUAUCUCCUCUUAACAAUAAAACCUUAACAGGGUUUCUUUCCCAGCUUUCAGUAUGUGAAAUAAGAAGCAGCGUGCAAGGCACCUAUAUUAAAUGGACGUGAUUUAGAAGAACCUCACUUGCUGUCUUUCCUAUGAUUUGCACUGAGAAAUACAAUAAAUACAUUAGCAUCAAUCCUAAACAUUUUUAUGCUAGGUAGUUGCAUAAUUCAACACAAACCUAGAGAAGAUAUAAAAUUAUAAUCUUCCUGUUCUGUUAUCCAAACAUCAAAAUUUCCUAUUCUGCAUUAAUCAUCCUUUAGUCUCUCUCUUUUCAGUAAGCUGGUCUUUGUAAAAAGCAGAAACACUCAGAAUACAAACAGGAGACACUGCAGUUACAGCUCUCAGGAAACAUGCCAGCCUGUAGGAGGAACCCUUGGCACCAGAGGGGCUGAGUUUCACCAAAUCUGUUAAUACAGUAGGGUAGCUCUUAAAUUGAGCCUUUAGGCCCUAUUACUACCUACAGCAGUGUCAGCAGUGAAAAGUAAAUGAAAAUAAGUACAAAACCAAUGUUCCUUGAUCUACACAAGGUUAAAUAUAUGCUGAUGAGCAUCAGUAUUUCCAACAACAAAAUUAUGCCUUUCUACUCAUCACUGGUGGACCUUGUUCUCACAAUAUUGCUACUUACUUUGGUAAUGAAAGUCAUUUUUAAGUUGAAUCUGCAAGUGAAUAUACUGCGGUGUACACAGUGCAUAGUUCCCAUAAAUUUAGCACACAGGAAUUUAUUUCAGCAGCUACAGCUUUCAGUAGUUCAUCAGUUUUGUUUUGCAUGAAUGUAAUUUACCUUUCAGCCACCAAAGGCUUACAGUACAGGUCUUGUAUUGAAACAAAACUAGUACUGUACCAGCACUCACAUAGUGCUGCCGAAGAGAGGAAAAAAAAACCUCAUAUUUAUUCCAAAGUUUUCCAAGCAGUUAAACUCAAAUUCAGAUGUAUAUCUCUGUACAUUUUUAGAACAGUGUUAACACAAGGCUAGUAAAAUUACUGUUUCAAUAAUGCAGCUGUAAUUAUUUAUGUAAUACAAUGAUGCAUAGUCUCCUUUAUUUCCUCUUAAAAAAGAAAAAAAAAAAACACUGGAAAAGGAAAGGCUAUUGAAAUUCUAUCAUAUUGUAUAGUCAUAGGUCUAAGAGAAAGAGAAAUCCUGUGGUCUAAAGUGAAAUAAAUCACUGAGUUUCAGAGACAGUCUUAUCCAUUGGAAAUAGCCACAAAUGAAGGGGAAGACAGAAAGACAUUUCAGUUCCUAAAAGCACAGAGAUUUGUGUUGAUGUUUGGCUUUAUCAACUUUCAGGAAGAAGGACCCAUUUAAUCACUGGAAAUUUUACCUUACUUAGAGAAUUUGGCCCAGUUUCUGCUAUGCAUGUUAGCUUAUUUUAUAAAAUAUGGGCCAGGCUCAUUUUCCUUGAAGUCACUGGGAUUUUUGGCAUUGAUUUCAAGAUGAACAGCCAGUGGGUGCAGAGUAGAGAGGAUAAGGAAAAAGGCAUACUACCUCUUACAGUACAGAUCAAAUCAAAUGCUGUGAGCUUCAGGGGGUGCAUUUCCUGAUGUUCUCUUCAUGCCUUAGAUAUUGCUUUUCACAAUAACCAAAUUCUUCUAUAGUCAAUUUUACAACUACGUCUGCUGUCAAGAAUUCAGUAAAUCAAAUGACUUUUUAUGGCAUUUUACAAGAAAGAAAACUAUUCAGGUAAACUGACAAGUCCAAAUAGGAAAAUGAGACUCCAACUAAAGCGUAUGUUAUGAAUCAUAGCCUACUACCCCUGCUGGGAUUGACAGAGAUCUCCAACCCAAAAUGAAUUCAAACCAGUUCACAGGGAUUCUUAAACUUUUGCUAAAAAGGGAAGCCAAAAUGAUGACAGCUUUAUUAGAGCAUAUAACUCAAAAUAAGCACCAAUGCAUUUUAAAACACUUCAAGGGCAUCUUUCAAUAUGAAUCUAAUUCCUUUUAAGAUACUGCUCAACCUCCUAAGUAAUAGUAUUUCUUUAUAAAAUGUAGUAAGCACUUAUAUUUGCAUGAGACAUUUUGUUAGCUGGGCUAAAAGUUAUCUCUUAAGUAAGUAGUCCAGCAAUAUAUGCCGAGUUUCAAUAGCUUUUUGUCCAUUCAGGACCGCUAUGAGCCUCGAUACUCCAGUGUUCAGGAUUAUCAAAGAGUCUACAUAACUAUGAUACACUGUGUUACAAGACCUUUAUAUAAAAGAAAUAUAGCUAAAUACACUUCUGAUUUUUAGAAUGUACCAGGUCCCAUUUAUGAAUACCAUGGACUUUUGCCUCAGCAAUCUUCUACAACUGUAAGGAGUGAACAUAUCUGAGAUAUUCCUCGAGAGAUGUAUGAUCUACUUUAUUUUAAUAGUGCACGUGCACAUACAGAUGAAAAAGUCUUUUCAUCUCCUACUGUCAAUCUCAAAUGUUUGGUAAUGUGCUAACAAGCAUUUCUGUGGCUGCACAAGGAGUGCCAAGUCAACGCUGUAUGAACCCUCCCAGACUUAAUGCUUACUGCAUAACUAUCUGCUUCAAUCAAUCAAUGCGCUUCCAUCACCAUUCAUAUUUUUCUCAACUUAUUAAGCAAAUGUAAUGAUAUAAUCAUAGAAUAGCUUAGGUUGGAAGGGACCCCAAGGAUCAUCAAUUUCCAACCCCCCUGCCACAGGCAGGGCCACCUACCUCCUGAUCUGGUACUAGACCAGGUUGCCCAGGACCCCAUCCAACCUGGCCUUGAACACCUGCAAGGAUGGAGCAUCCACAGCCUCUCCGGGCAGCCCAUUCCAGCACCUCACCACUCUCUCUGUAAAGAUCUUCCCCCUGAUAUCCAAUCUAAACCUUCCCUCCUUGAGCUUAAAGCCACAGUAUGUUUGUGUAACAGAUUGAAAUGUUUGAAGCAAACAAGAGAAGUUAAAGAAUAAAAUAAUAUGAAAGAUACUUUCCUGUUACAAUGAUGUAAUAAGUAAAUAAAUGUCUUCCUUCAUCACAGAAAGAAAAGAUCACCUGUUCUCCCAAAUACACAGAAUAGAUCGCAUUUUAAAAUCUGCAUUUAUUGCGUCCUAGUAUGAAGAAGCAGUUCUCCUUAGAAAUUGCUUAGUUUAGACAAUGAAUGGAGUCUGGUAAUACUCCCAAGAGUAUUAAUACUCUUAAUACAGAAUGAAAAGAAAUACAUCUCUUAUUAACCACGGAAGACAGCAUCUUAACUAGGUUAUUCUGUCUAAUGUCCCCAUAGAUAUCAUGGACAAUUUUAACCCCAUAAAGGGACAAAAGUCUUUUCAGAAAACGCAUUACUUGAUAUGAUGCAAGACAGAGUUCCAGGUUAAAUCAGUACAGGUUCACUGGGAUAGAGGGCAUAGAUCACUGCCUCCAUCAAACAAGCUUUUUUGAUACUAGAGAUAUUUCUCCCCUGUCCUUUACCACUCUUUUUAUCUCUUCAUCUGCCUUUUGCUUCACCAAUUAUUUAAUUCUCAUUUAUUUUCCAAAUCUUGAAGUGUACUGCAAGUAACAUCCAAGCCUGAUCCAGCAUUAUCUUUCAAGCAAACAACUUGUUAGGGCUAUGCAUAAAACUAAUUUAUUUCUAGAUGGAACCACACCUUGCGAAAUAGAAGCAAUACUGUAAAACUACAUGCAAUGUUAUAAGUUUUUUGCACAUCUUGUUCUUUGAUUUUAUUUUUUAUGCCUGAAUGUUAGGAACAGCAGCCGAGAGAGUGCUGCUUACUUACAUUUGCUUUUCAUACCCUUUAAACCUUCCUUGUCUUGUCCUUGUUUUAACUAGUGCCACGUCAGCCUCCCAACUAUCUUUACAACCAAGGUUUUUCAUCAAGCAAUAUUGUUUGAAGAAUUGAGGUCAGACUGGCAGUUGCUGACCUCUUCAUUCACAUAAUAAAUCCUGAUUAUUCUAGGGUUACAGUUCAUGUGUAUAAUCUGAUCAUGAAUACUCAGUAAAGUAUAUAACAUCUAGCAUAAUAUUUUGCUAACUGUAUCAAAGUGAAAUAAAUCAUAAGUUUAGGUGGUGUGGAAAGAAAAAAGAAAAAGGCAGUAACAGGCAAGCAAAAGCAACAUGGAGAUGACAGCUGCAGAGCUAUAAAAACACAUUCACUAUUACGUCUUUAAAACAAUUAAAAAGAAUUAUUAUUUUUCCUCAACAAUUUUCUGCAGUAAAAUACACGUAAAAGGUUCCCCAAAACAAAAAUCUUCAGAUGAGAUUAUUACAUUUCAUGUUCAGUGAAAACAUUCAUUCUAGGUACAGAAACUGCAUCCUGUAGUAGUAGGAACCACCUACAAAAUUAUCAGUUGAUACCAAAAGGAGGAAUUUGUAUUCUCCUUUUGUAGAAACAAAGACUAUGGAGAGAACGCCAUGUUCACUCUCUGGUCAUUGCCCUGGACUACUGAUACUAAUGCUAGAUUUUCACUAGUUUUUAAAACAAAUUUCUCAUCCCUCUUCAUCUGCUGCAAAGGUCUCAACAGUUGCCACGUAUUAGAGAUACAGGCAAAGUGCUUCUGAACUUCAAGAGCUCUUUCCCACAAUGGUAUCUUAAUCCAGUAAAGAUGAAUUGCCUGUACAAACUAUUCUGAAUCUGCUCUACUUUGAAGCACAGAACAAACUCUCAUUGCUAGCCUAGAAGGAAAAAAAGGCGACAUCUUCCUGUUCUCAUGUUUUCAUUUUUGAUAGGAAGCAUUCUAUGGCAGCAGAAACCUCGUGUAUGGUUAGAGCUGGUCAAGAAGCUUUCAAGAAAACCUUUUUCUAAUUAGAAAAUUUUGAUUAAAAAAAAAUUCAUUUGAAAAAUGGGUGCUUUUUAAUAAAUUCUGAUCUGAUUGGAUACUUUUACAACUUUAAAUAAGGAAAACAUUUUCAUCUGCAAAUUUAUUUUUUCCCGAAAACAUUCAAGUCUCAUCCAACCCGUUCAUCACAAACGUUACCUGUUUAAGAAUGCUGCAGAACAAGUUUUUGUCAUUUCUAUCAAAAUUUUGUAUAAGAGGGAAAAAAAAGCUUUAACUUUGGUAGAAACUGCUUUGUUUUUUAUCUAGAUAUCUACAUAUUCCAGAUAGUAAACAUUAGCACUUAGCAAUUCAGUUUUAUAUAACCAAAUUAAAAAGUGCAGGUAAAUGCAUCAUUUCCUGGGUUUGUUAAACACCUUUGUAAAUGGCUCAUCUUCAUCUGUACAGCUUUCUAUGAUCAGCAUGAUCCUAUUUCUCUUUAAAUUCAGAAGAAAAACAAAAUCUACUUGAGGUCAUCUCAGCUCUCUUUUUCUUUCUUCCCCACUGUCAGUAUAGUCCGAAAUCUUACAUAUCAGCUCUGUUUAACUAAGGUACAAGAUGAGCAUGUGCUAAGAAAGGUAUGUGCUGCAAAAAUUAAAAUAAAAUUAUAUCUCUGAGAAUACUUUCUAGGAAAUCAGAGAGAAGCAGCUACAGGAAAAUCCUGGCAGUUCUGUACACAUUGCAAAGAAGAUGACCUUAAUGAUGAAUUAGCACGCGUACUAAAUUUGGAUCUAUCACCUAGCUAGGAGAGCCUGUGGGUAUCAGAACUAGAAUCAAGGAUGAUCUUUAUGUCAAAAAAACGACCUAAAAACAAACAUUUAAAUUGGGAAUGCCUGAUAUUCUAAGCUCUGCUUGCAAAAAUCCAGCAAGGAUUUGGGAAAGUCCAAAAAUCCAAUUCUGUCAAAAACUAUUCAGAACAGCGGGUGUUAUGGGUUACAACCAGAACAGUAAUCAGCAGUGCCACUGUUGGGGAUUUAAAAUAAAAAAGCAUCAUCAGAAAGUAACUUCACAACGUGGUUUUGCCAGAACUGGAAUACAGUAGGUGGACAAAGACAUCACAUUUGAAUAGAAACUGGUCUGUGUUGGCUCAAUGGAGAACAAGAGUGAUCUAGAAAAUGCAAUUGCUGAAAAAAGACUUAAAGACCUAGGAUUAUUUGGUCUACACAAAAGAAGAGUGAGAGGAAGCAUGAAGGCAAUAUUAAUAUUUAUGUAUAUCUGCCUUCAUAUAUGUAUAAAAGAUAGCUUCAAAGCAGAGGGGAAUAAUUUGUUUCCCUUGCCCACUAUAGAUAUGACAAAAAUGACAAGCUUCAAUUGCAUUGAGGGAGAUUUAGAUUGGGCAUUAGGGAAGACUAUUUUCAACUAGCAAGCGUAGGCUAGUACCUGAAUAAGUAAAGAACUCGCAAAAUUCCCAGGCUUGCUGGGCUUUAAAGCAAGCAGUUUAGGUGUAAUCAAUCCAACCUUACUCUGUCAGCUAGACCACAGUAAAUGACAUAUCUCAAGGCCCUUCUUAUGCUACUUUUAAUGAGUAUUAAUGGAUGCAACCUCCCUAGUAUUCAAGAGAGUAUCAUUUCACAUCCACUAACAGCAGUGUAAUUAACAACAGAAAGCAAAGCAAUGGUGAGUGAGGCUCCGUAUGAUAUUAGAAAUAGCUUGAAGUAAGCAGCAUGUUAUUUCAGGCCUUGUAUCCACUGCCCCACAUUUAGGUGCAAGUACUCAUCUAAAAAUCCCCAUAGCUCAUAUUUGGAAAGAUGUGAGUUCUUCAUUGGUUCUACCUGUGAUAAACAACUUCCUGAGGAUUAAGCUCUUGCACUGCAGCUUUGCUUAUUACUGUUUGCUCCAAUGGUAAUUUCUGAGGUCUCUUCAUGGUUGGGUUAGCUUUUCAGAGGAAUCUAUUUGCUCUCUCUAUAUGAGUUUUGUGCAUGCAUGUAAAGAAUUCUCACUCUAAUUGCAAUAUGUAACUUGCAUGCUACUUUAUCAGAGAAGCCUCCCAUCCUUCUUUUAGAACUACAGCUUUGUGACUGCAUGUUUUUUAUUCUUCCUGGAUUUAACAGACGUGAAGAUAAACUUCAGAUUUCAAAAGGGUAAGAGAACUUGAGUCUUCAUUACACACUUGGAAAAUGCUUUGAAACUUAAGCGUUUGCUUCAUUGUUUCCUCUGAAAUGAUUAGAAAAAUCAGAAUUGCAUCUUGGAUACACGUUUUCACCAAUAGAAUUCAAAUGUAAUCUUGAUCAUCUCCUCCUUUUUGUUCAGAUCCUAACUCCGAGUAAGUAGUGCUUAGACCAGGGCAUGAAAUGGUGCCAAUUUCAUCGUGUAUUUUGUAAAAUUAUCCUGACCUCACCAAUUAAAGAGUACAGUUAUGUUUAUUAUUUACUAUUUUCAUAGUUUGUGUUUUACUCUUUCAAUGUGACACAACUAGUCACAGGAUUGUACGUAACCUCAUACAAAACCAAUUCUUAAAGGCCCUGUGCACUUAUAAUGAUUGCCUUAACGGAUUUUUAUUUCAUGCUUAUAAAAGAUUACCUUGGCUUUUAAAACUUAAAGCCUCCAUACAAGGUUAUUUAUUUUCAUUCCUACUUAAAAUUAAAUUAUAUUUGUGUAUGCAAAUGCACUAUGUAGGAGGGUUUAAAAAACUGGCAAGUAAAUCCUCACGCACUCAGAGGUGGAAAUUAUUAUCCAUUUAUAUAUAGUGAUUAACAGUUAAAAUGCACUCUCUGCUGUUCCCUGUGUCUCAGAAAGAACAGAAGCUUUUGUCUUCCUGAAAUAAAAAGCCACAUGUCUUUUUAUAGUAAAUGCGUUCAAAAGGGGGCACAUCUCUGUCAUGGCAAAAAGCCAGAGAAAUUUAAAAUACACUCAUCACAUACUGAAGAGUUACAUUUAUGCCUUGCUGAUGAGACAUUAACACAAAUAUGGGACAAAAAAUAUGAAAUUAUAGUUUCCUGAUACAUAUCAGCUCGCAUAGGGCACUGCAGAUAGGGUACAUAUAAACUUUAAAUAUCACCUCAAAAAGUCAGAGUGUUGAAAAAGAGCAGAGUAAGCCUGCCCAAAAGCAGUGAUAUGUCUUAAUGAGAUGGCACAGCAUCUUGUUUUACACAGAAUGAACGUUUUCCAGUUGGCCAAUAUACAAAAGCAAACAAAUAAUAAUAAAACUCUGAGAAUAAAACGAAAAACGUAACCAGUUCAUCUUGGAAACACUGAAUCAUCCACAAAGAAAACAAAGCAUCCAGUCACAAAUAUAAAUGAACCAUAAGACAAUAUUAGAAUAUAUCCAUUUGCCCAACUGAUGAGGAUCUCAAGGAAGAGAGGAUGGGUUUGAUUUCAUUUGCUUUUUAAAGAAACCAUUUUUCCUUUUUUCUUUUUUUUUUUUUUAAUUAAUUUAAUCUUCACACUUUUCCUGCGGCCCCUGGGCUCCUGUCCAGGCCCAGAUACUUCACAAUUGACUUUGAUUUUCUGAGGUAAGUGCUCUGUCACUUUCAGAGCAGUUAGAGGAGGGGUCAGGAGUGAGGUGGCAUGGUAUGGCCUCACUCUGGCUCCUGCCUUCCUGACAUUGUACACGCUAAUGCAAUGUGAAGUAGCACGUCUAAAUAGCCUGUCAAACUUUUUUGAUGUUAGCAAACCCACAGAUGGGAUUCAUUUCCACACUGUUCAAAAAACGUAAACGAUACAAGGACAUUAAAGAGCAUUAAACUACUUGAUGACAUUUUGGUCACAUUAAUGAAAAGUGACAUUUAUAAACUACUACAAAAAGAUGGCGGGGGGAGAGAAUGGAAAGAGAAAGGAAAGGAGAAGUGAGGAGGGGAAAAGGAAUUAAAAUCAAUCAAAAAAAUCCCAAAGGGACCUGGACAGUCUCUGGACAUCAUCAAAUAAAUUAAGGCCUUAAAAUGAAAUAAACCCCAGAGUGAACUUUUCCCUACACGUGUGCACGUGUGCCUGUGCUAAUGCUUGGGUGAAAAGACCCACUGCAUCUAAGGACUCCUUACAGGGAAGUAUAACUGUGUGCUUAAGGCUACAUUUUCAUCUGUUCACUCAUAGAGGAUAGUACUUUCCCACUUACAGCAUCCCACUGAUGCCAUUGAUUAAAAUGUUGCUGAAUAUAAGAAAGGGUAUCAAAAUCCAACCACACCAGCUUAGUUUUACACAGUUGAGGCCUUGUUUGGUAUUCAGUGACAUACAUGAAAAUAUCUCACACAGCAUUAAUGGACUUUAGUGCACACAUCAAGAGAGUGAGAGCUGGUAACAAGAAAACAUUUGUCUAUGGAAAGUUCUGAGAUCCAGCCCUGUCAGUUCUACAACCUGUUACACACUCAACUGAAGUUUGGGACCCAUCUGGAUGUAAGGGUUAGGCAGUUGCUGGUUCAUCAGGUAAAGCAGCAGAGGCUGCGGAGCUGGCUGUGCCAGGAUGCCAGCCUUGCUGGGAAGAAGGGCAGACAGGAGACAUGCAACUCUGACUACACCACUGCCACUAGCAGCCGCAGCGUAUAUUUUUUCCAGCAUUCGUGGUUACAUUAAUUGUUAAUGACAAAGGCAACCUUCACUCACUCUGUGUGGUUUCCUGCCCAUAUUUGGAUCCUUUACAAGCCCCCCCUCCGUACUCCCUCCCCCCCCCACCUUUUUUCUUCCUCUCCUCCCCCUACCAUUAUCCCUUCCCUUUCUCUGGUAGGAAAUGCAACCCGAGAUGUGCGAAAAAACAGUGUGCAUAUUGUCAUUUAAUUGGCCCCUUGCUCAGGCGCAUCGGGCCUCAGCGCGUGUGCUGUAGGGUGUCUGCUCCACAACAGGAAAGAAUAAACCCAGACUCAAAUCAUAGGAAAUUCAUCAAAUAUGCUUCUUAGAGUUCUGUCUUUCAAGGUCUGUUUCCCUGCCAUAUGAUCUCUAUAAACCAAAUUACUGCUGGCCUGAGUACAAGACUGGAGGCGCCUGGGGCUAACAUAUAAUGAAUGCCAAAUGCAUGUGACAAUAGACUGAUCAUGGAGAAGAAUUGAAAAAUUUUUAAGUAGUUCUUCUAUUUCAUUUAUAAAAAGCAAACUGACUACACUUAAUAUAUUUAAAAGGAGCCAAUCAUUUCCCUGCAGCUCCAGACCUGCAUAACAAUCCUUUUAUAUUGAAUCCAUUAAACAGCUAGGACACGAGAUACAUUGGAAUAAUGCUGAAUGAUGUACAAAAUAGAAAAUAAAUUAAAAAUACCACAUUUUAGGUAGGGACUAAUAUAUGCAUUAUUGAAUUAGCCCAAUUUUUCCUUUUAGGAGCCUUUGUGCAUGAAGAUUUUGCCCUUCACUGGCAAUGCAACAAGAGGGUAAACUUCUGCUGGAAUGUAUCUGCCAGAACUGAGCUUCUAAGAAAGAAUGCAUAUGCCUUACUGUACUCACAUCUACUGUCUGGUCUCCAUGAAUAUUUAUCAAGCAUCAAUGAACGUCAAUGGGUGCCUCUUUUUCCUAAUGGACAAAUUCAAUGACACGCCGUUGCUUCCUCUGCACUUCCAUGUAGAACAUCAUUUUGUCAGGCAGUCCCACUGCUACCAUCUGUUACACAGCAACAACAUGUAAUGGAAUAUAGGCAGGAAGGUUCAACCUCUACUGCCAUACCACCAACAUCUGCCUCUGAUGUUGUGGGCCAAAAUAAUAAAAUAGGAGGCCUCACUUUUGGAGCAGUCCUUGUAUAAAUCAAGAAAAUGUAUGUAUAAAUGUGUAAACUUGAUUGAGCUUCCUUACUUAGAACUUAUCAAUUUGAACAAGAUUCUAAAUCUAAGAAUACAUAGAACUACUAGAGUAGCAACCAUUCAAAAUUUCCCUCUCCUUGUUCAAUGCACUGCUUCUGACUUUAUUUAUAGAGUACUGUCCAAGUCUAGCUUUAAAAACUGAAUUAUUAUUCCUCUAUGAGUUUUUGGUGACAAGUAUCAUUAAAGUAUUCUAGAGUUUCAUAUUACUACAUAUCCAUGAGAUGAGAGAACAUUAACAGCUCUUACAGAUGGGAAUAGCAAGAAACUAAAGACAUCUGCCUUCUUCCAGCGCUAAAUCUCAGGUUCAAAGUACCUGUUUUAGACUAUUUAGUUAUACCUAUCACUCAAACAGAUGCAAUUACACAUACUUCAGCAAAUGAAAGCACUAUAUCUCAAGCUAGAACUCCAAAAAGAAGACAAUGAAAUAACUCCUUAAAAGCAUAGCUUGAUGGAUAACCAAUAAAAAUGCUAUGGUGAAGGACAACAAUCCUGUGCCAUAACCAAGAAAACA